rnacentral:rRNA from 1 species
AGAGUUUGAUCAUGGCUCAGGACGAACGCUGGCGGCGUGCUUAACACAUGCAAGUCAGGGGGUGGGGCAACCCAUCACCGGCGAACGGGUGCGUAACACGUGAGCGACCUGCCUUCGAGUGGGGGAUAGCCGGCCCAACGGCCGGGUAACACCGCAUACGACGCCGGCCCCGCAUGGGGCGGGCGUGAAACCACUUGGGCUCGGAGAGGGGCUCGCGGCCUAUCAGCUAGUUGGCGGGGUAAUGGCCUACCAAGGCGACGACGGGUAGCUGGCGUGAGAGCGUGGCCAGCCACACAGGGACUGAGACACGGCCCUGACUCCUACGGGAGGCAGCAGUGGGGAAUCUUGCACAAUGGGCGAAAGCCUGAUGCAGCGACGCCGCGUGAGGGAUGACGGCCUUCGGGUUGUAAACCUCUUUCACCCACGACGAAGCGAAAGUGACGGUAGUGGGAGAAGAAGCACCGGCCAACUACGUGCCAGCAGCCGCGGUAAUACGUAGGGUGCAAGCGUUGUCCGGAAUUAUUGGGCGUAAAGGGCUCGUAGGCGGUCUGUCACGUCGGGAGUGAAAACUCAGGGCUCAACCCUGAGCGUGCUCCCGAUACGGGCAGACUAGAGGUAGGUAGGGGAGAAUGGAAUUCCUGGUGUAGCGGUGGAAUGCGCAGAUAUCAGGAGGAACACCAGUGGCGAAGGCGGUUCUCUGGGCCUUACCUGACGCUGAGGAGCGAAAGCAUGGGGAGCAAACAGGAUUAGAUACCCCAGUAGUCC